GCGGCGGACGGGUGAGUAACACGUGGGCAACCUACCUUGUAGAUUGGGAUAACUCCGGGAAACCGGGGCUAAUACCGAAUAAACCAUUUUGCUUCAUGGCAAGAUGUUGAAAGGCGGCUUCGGCUGUCACUACUAGAUGGGCCCGCGGCGUAUUAGCUAGUUGGUAGGGUAAUGGCCUACCAAGGCGACGAUACGUAGCCGACCUGAGAGGGUGAUCGGCCACACUGGGACUGAGACACGGCCCAGACUCCUACGGGAGGCAGCAGUAGGGAAUCUUCCACAAUGGACGAAAGUCUGAUGGAGCAACGCCGCGUGAGUGAAGAAGGUUUUCGGAUCGUAAAACUCUGUUGUAAGGGAAGAACACGUACGAGAGUAACUGCUCGUACCUUGACGGUACCUUAUUAGAAAGCCACGGCUAACUACGUGCCAGCAGCCGCGGUAAUACGUAGGUGGCAAGCGUUGUCCGGAAUUAUUGGGCGUAAAGCGCGCGCAGGCGGUUCUUUAAGUCUGAUGUGAAAGCCCACGGCUCAACCGUGGAGGGUCAUUGGAAACUGGAGAACUUGAGUACAGAAGAGGAAAGCGGAAUUCCACGUGUAGCGGUGAAAU
rnacentral:rRNA from 1 species